CCCCUCUCAGGGUAGCACCUGGAGAGUUUCCAAUACUCUACCAGACUCAACUAAGUGAGGGAGAGUCAAGCAGAGGUAUACCCAUUCCAUUCCUAACUUGGCCAGUGACUAGUUAGUGGAAGGCAAUCUGCUACUAGU